UAAAGCCAUAGAGGUGAAUGCUACCAAGUGGGGGUAGGGAGGCAGUUAGAAGAAAGUGGGAUCCUGCCCUAAGUAAUACAACAAGAGUCAGAGAGGUAAGAGGAAUGGUUUGGCAAGUGUGGUGAGUCAUGACUCAAAGAAAAGAAGAAUUUUCCAGAAAGGGAAAGUGGUCAACUUUCCACAUCAGUUAAGCCAUGAGCAGUACAUCAACUCAGGAAUGGGAAGCGCUCUUGAUCACAGGAGUGAAGCGGAGAGCUUUCUGGAGUAUUACUGAAGGCAGGAGCCAGGUUGGAAGAGCCCCCAGCUCAUCUCUUUGCCUAAUGACUGAGUCAGAGAAUGUAUCGUUGGCAAUGUCUAGGGACAUUUCCACUAUGAUUUUUGCAAGAAAUUGAAUAAUCUAAGACUUCCCAUUCGACUCCCUUCUGCUCUAUCCAAUGAAACUGUCACAUAGAAGCAUCACAUAGAAUCUCCAGGUCAGAAUGGCUAGGAUUAGAAGACAGCGAGGUGUUCUGUAUACGUUUGUGUAGCAAAGGCCUUAUGAAACAUGUAACACUUGACCCAGCGAUAAACACCUGCACAAUCCACCUCGAUGAUUCUCCUUCCAGCAAAUGUAUCCCAAAUGAGCGAUCAGAGAUGCACUCAACUAUGUAUGCAGAUGUAGAGGUCUCCAGCUAAAGACACGGAUAUGCACACCAGCCUGUGGUAGGCAUCUUUGGACAUGACUUCAAUUUACUCUGUCUUCUGGUCUUCAUGCUCUUAUGUUACCCCACUGGAUGUGGGCUGCACUUAGCCACUUGUUUCUAUCACAGAUAGAACAUGGCAAAAUGACGGGAUGGCUCUUCUGUGAUUAGGUUAGAAAGACUGACGUCUAUCUUGCUGGCAUGCAUACGUUCUCUCUCUCUCUCUCUCUUUCUCUCUUUCUCUCUCUCUCUCUCUUUCUCACCCUCUCCCUUGCUCUGAUGAUGUUAGCCGUCAGGCUGUGAGCUGCCCUAUGCAGAGGUCCACGCAGAAAAGGAUGAAGGGAGGACCCUAUCCAACAGCCCGUGAAGAACUGAGGCACUCAGACCACCAACCCACAAAGAACUGAAUCCUGCCAACAACCACAUGCCUGCUCUAGGAAGUGGGUCCUUGCCGGUCAAGCCUUUAGAUGAGACCAGAGCCCCGGCCAACACCUUGAUGAGAGUCUGUGCAUGACCCAGAGCCAGAGGACCCAGCUAAGCCAUGCUCAGAUUCCCACCUGCACAGACUGUGUUAAUAAAAAGUAGUUUUAAGCCACGAAGUUUUUGGGUAACUUGUUAUAGAAGAUUAUAUAACGAAUCCACAGCUUUAUUUAUAAAACUAUAAAAUUGGAAACAAUAAAAGUGUACAUUAAGAAAAAAAUUAAGUAAACUGUAAAGGACCCAAAUAAUGGUAUGCUGUGGACCAUGUUAAAAAAUAUUAUUUCUUGCUAUAGAGAAAAGUUUAUGACAUAG